AUGGCCGACGCCCCGCCGAGUUCCGGCGGCAUGGCCGUCGACCUGACCGCAAAGGUGAGGAAGAAGGCGGCAAAGAAGCCGCGGUCGGAGUACACGCCGGAGGAGAUCGCCAAGUUGGACGCGGAAUCGGCGAAGAGGAGGGAACGGAGAGCGGCCGUCAAGAUCAAUGCCGCCGCGGCCAAGUUCGGCGCCCAGCACGAGGAGCUGGAGGCCGCGCGGCGCAAGGCCGCUGCCGACGAGAAGGAGGACCUCGUCAACAAAGCGCACGCCAUCCUCAUGCUUGGCAUGGGCCGUCCGGCGGGGUUCCAUGCAGCGGCCGCCAACCCGGCGAGCACAGGCUCGUCGGUCGCCCGGCCUACGCACUGCCAGUCGCCGACGUCGCGCGUCGCGCCCAUGUCGCCCGGCUUUCCUCCGCCCUGGCACGACGGCCAGACCCGUUUCUCGGCGUCGCCGGACGUGGGCUUGUUCGCGCCAUCCACACCACGCCCCGCGGCCGUCAUCGACCUCAACAUGACGCCUGGGUCCAACAGCGGCGGGCGGCCUUCCGUCGAGAUGCAAAGAAAGCAGGCGCGUGCACCGUUCACAGGCACCAUGCCGGCCCCCCGCGUGUUGUUUGAGGAAAUGCCAACCUCAACGCCGACGGUGGACGACCCCUUCUACAACCAGUACAUGGAGGACGUGAUCUUCCAGGGUGGGCAUGGACGUGCUUACGACCUCGAUGAGACCCAAAGUCAGGAUGGCCGCGCCCAGUACGUGCCCGAUGAAGAGGCCGACGACCGUGCUGACUACGACCAUGGUGAUUCGUGGCAUGAAGACGAUGACAUCUAUGUCGAAGGUGAAGAUGAAGAUGAAGCCAAUGAUGUUGAUAUUAGUGACGCUCCAUUGUUCAUAGACGAGCUCACCCAAAGAGCGGAAGCACAAAAGAAGCGGAAGAGCAUUCGCACCGGGUCAUAUACACAAGAUGAGGACAAGUUGAUUUGCCAAUCUUGGAUGAAGAUUAGCCAAGAUCCAAGGACCGGCGCGCAACAAAAGGGCAUUGUUUUUUGGACGAGAAUCCACAAAACAUUCCAUGAAAGGAAGAUGUUUGAGCCCUACCAAAUUACAAGCAACCGUGGCAUCGGUUCGAUUCAAAAAAGAUGGUUGUUCAUCCAACAAGAGUGCAACAAAUAUUGCGCCGCAUUUGAGAGCGUUGAAGCACGGCCCGUGAGUGGUCUCGGCGUUGGAGACAUGGCAUUUCAAUCAUUGGAGGCAUUCAAGGCCCGGCACAAUGACAAGCCAUUCACUCUUACGCAUUGUUGGACGAUCAUCAACAAUUGCCCUAAGUUCAAGGAUCAAUACCGUGAACUUCAAAGAAAAAGAGGCAAGAAGACGGCCAAGUUCGCCGGAGGUGGGGAUGGCGAGGCAUUGAAGAGGCCGAGGGGCAAGACCAACUCCAAGGUGGACGACAUCCGUGACGCCUCAUCCAUGGCCUUGCAUGAGACUUUGCAUGGCAUGAUGUCACAUAAGGAUGUGAGGGACGAGAAGAAGCGGCAAAGCAAUGACGAGCAAAUGAAGCAAUACCUAGAUCUCCAAAGACAGAAGCUUGAGAUGGAGGAGGCGGCCAAGAAGAGGAAGAUAGACAUGGAGGAGACGGCCCGGCAAAGGCAGCUUGACAUGGAAGAGGCCGCCCGGCAAAGGCAGCUCGACAUGGAAGAGGCCACCCGGCAAAGGCAGCUCGACAUCGAGGCCGACAACGUCAAGGCCAGGCAGAGGCAGCUCGACAUCGAGGCCACCAAUGCCGCCACCAAAGCAAAGGAGGUGGCCCUAGCGAUCAUGAGCGUGGACUUGUCGAAAAUGAGCGACAAGACGAGGGCCUGGUUCGAGGCCAAGCAGAAAGAGAUGCUCGAAGCCGAAGGCCUGAACUAG
rnacentral:rRNA from 1 species